rnacentral:rRNA from 1 species
CCUUCGGGAGGCUGCAGUGGGGAAUAUUGGACAAUGGGGGCAACCCUGAUCCAGCCAUGCCGCGUGUGUGAAGAAGGCCCUCGGGUUGUAAAGCACUUUCAGUGAGGAAGAACGCCUGGUGGUUAAUACCCAUCAGGAAAGACAUCACUCACAGAAGAAGCACCGGCUAACUCCGUGCCAGCAGCCGCGGUAAUACGGAGGGUGCGAGCGUUAAUCGGAAUUACUGGGCGUAAAGCGCGCGUAGGUGGCUUGAUAAGCCGGUUGUGAAAGCCCCGGGCUCAACCUGGGAACGGCAUCCGGAACUGUCAAGCUAGAGUGCAGGAGAGGAAGGUAGAAUUCCCGGUGUAGCGGUGAAAUGCGUAGAGAUCGGGAGGAAUACCAGUGGCGAAGGCGGCCUUCUGGACUGACACUGACACUGAGGUGCGAAAGCGUGGGUAGCAAACAGGAUUAGAUACCCUAGUAGUC